rnacentral:rRNA from 1 species
AGUGAACGCUGGCGGUAGGCCUAACACAUGCAAGUCGAACGGCAGCACAGGAGAGCUUGCUCUCUGGGUGGCGAGUGGCGGACGGGUGAGGAAUACAUCGGAAUCUACUCUGUCGUGGGGGAUAACGUAGGGAAACUUACGCUAAUACCGCAUACGACCUACGGGUGAAAGCAGGGGACCUUCGGGCCUUGCGCGAUUGAAUGAGCCGAUGUCGGAUUAGCUAGUCGGCGGGGUAAAGGCCCACCAAGGCGACGAUCCGUAGCUGGUCUGAGAGGAUGAUCAGCCACACUGGAACUGAGACACGGUCCAGACUCCUACGGGAGGCAGCAGUGGGGAAUAUUGGACAAUGGGCGCAAGCCUGAUCAGCCAUACCGCGUGGGUGAAGAAGGCCUUCGGGUUGUAAAGCCCUUUUGUUGGGAAAGAAAUCCAGCUGGCUAAUACCCGGUUGGGAUGACGGUACCCAAAGAAUAAGCACCGGCUAACUUCGUGCCAGCAGCCGCCGUAC